rnacentral:misc_RNA from 1 species
GAUGAAGAACGCAGCGAAAUGCGAUAAGUAAUGUGAAUUGCAGAAUUCAGUGAAUCAUCGAAUCUUUGAACGCACAUUGCGCCCGCCAGUAUUCUGGCGGGCAUGCCUGUUCGAGCGUCAUUUCAACCAUCAAGCCCCCGGCUUGUGUUGGGGACCUGCGGCUGCCGCAGGCCCUGAAAACCAGUGGCGGGCUCGCUGUCACACCGAGCGUAGUAGAUUUUCAUCUCGCUCAGGGCGUGCUGCGGGUUCCGGCCGUAAAAAGCCUUAUUUACCCAAGGUUGACCUCGGAUCAGGUAGGAGGACCCGCUGAACUUAAGCAUAUCAAUAAGCGGAGGA